AGCGAACGCUGGCGGCAGGCUUAACACAUGCAAGUCGAGCGGGCGUAGCAAUACGUCAGCGGCAGACGGGUGAGUAACGCGUGGGAACGUACCUUUUGGUUCGGAACAACCCAGGGAAACUUGGACUAAUACCGAAUAAGCCCUUACGGGGAAAGAUUUAUCGCCGAAAGAUCGGCCCGCGUCUGAUUAGCUAGUUGGUGAGGUAACGGCCCACCAAGGCGGCGAUCAGUAGCUGGUCUGAGAGGAUGAUCAGCCACAUUGGGACUGAGACACGGCCCAAACUCCUACGGGAGGCAGCAGUGGGGAAUAUUGGACAAAGGGCGCAAGCCUGAUCCAGCCAUGCCGCGUGAGUGAUGAAGGCCCUAGGGUUGUAAAGCUCUUUUGUGCGGGAAGAUAAUGACGGUACCGCAAGAAUAAGCCCCGGCUAACUUCGUGCCAGCCGCCGCGGUAAUAC
rnacentral:rRNA from 1 species